GUCACACAGAGUCGGACACGACUGAAGCCACUUAGCAACAGCAUAGAGACAGAGUAGAAUGGUGGUUGUCAGGGACUGGGGACUGGGGAAAAUGGGAAGAUAUUGGUGAAAGCAUACACAGUUUCCAUUAUAAGAUGAGUAAAUUCUGGCUACCUAGGGUACAAGGUGGUGGCUAUUGUUAACAAUGUUGUAUUAAAUACUUGAAGGUUGCUUAGAGGAUAGGUCUUAAAUGUUCUCAGAAACAGUGGUAGCUAUGUGAUGUGAAAAAGGUAUUAACUAACUUUAUUGUAGUAGUCAUUUCACAACAUAUACAUGUAUCAAAUCAUGUUGAACACCUUAAAUUUAUGCAAUGUUAUCUGUCAAUUGUAUCUCAAUAAAGGUGGGCAGGGGGAAGGAAAAUGGAGGGCAGAAGCGAGAGAAUGGUGUUGCAGCUUUGUAAGGGCAGGUUAGGAGAGGUGAGGAAAGGUUAGGUAGGGUUUGUUUUUUCUUUUAUUGUGAACCUGAAAGGACAAGGAAAAGAAACCAGGACUAGAACUUUCCUGGAGGCACUGUCAAGCCAACACUCCUGGAAUAAGAUCCGAGGUAAGAGUUGCCAACAAACACCCAAAACAAAUCUGCCUAUAGUAGAGCCCCGUCUCUACUCCAAAACACAGUCCCACUGCUCCACCCAGUGGCAAUCUUGAGAUAGUGCCCAAAGGAUAUCUACCAGAGCCACUCAGAUUACAUCAGAACCUUGACAUUGCAGGGAGGAGAGGCCAUGUUACUAUUCUUUUUUUUAAUCCCCAGGGACUCUGAUGUGCUGCUGCAUUUGAGAAUGGCUGGCCAAAUUUGCACUUUCCCUAUGACAUAGAGACUUCCUGGUGCCAGCUGCAAUGGCAGGUGGCACCUGGGCAAGGCGCUAACGUAGGCUAUCACUUUGUUUUUUCCAUUCUCUCAUCAGGAGUUUAAUUCUUUCUCAUCAACUGCCAUUUCUCAGUGAACGCUGUGUAUUGGGUGCUGGGAAUACAACACUGCACAAGACAAAUAAGGCUUCUGUCUUACAGUGAGUUUACAGUGAGGAAGACAAGCAAAUCUGUACAGAUGGCAAUAAGUUCUAUGAAGGAAAAGGACAUGGUGUUGAGACAGAAAACAACUGAGAGCCUGCAAUUGCUUCUGUCAUUUCAUUUAUCAUGCUGUGUUGUAUUGUGAAUGUUUCAGACGUUUCUUGGAUGUGUCUGGGGAAUUCCUGAAAUGAAACUGAGUGGCAGACCUUCAUCCAUAGACUUCAAUAAUUUUAGUGAUGAUAUCAAUGUCCUCUAGCAAAAGACUCCCAGGAACAUACAUAUAUUGAUGAAGCUCUACAGGAGACCCAGGUUUAAUUCCUGGGUCAGGAAGAUCCCCUGGAGAAGGAAAUGGCAACUCACUUCAGUAUUCUUGCCUGGCGAAUUCCAUGGACAGAGGGACCUUGCAGGCUACAGUCCAUGGGGUCACAAGAGUCGGACAUGAUUUAGGGACUUCACCACCACUAGCCAAAGACUCCCAGGAACACACAUACAGUGAUCAAAGUGGGUUUGUCACUUAGUGAGAAUCUACACCAUGGAGAACUGUGAGGCAUCUCAACAAAAAAAGGGUGCCGAACAAACUUAUUCUAGGCUUUGAGCUUUGGUUGAGUGACUUGGGGGAGGGUCAAAGGAAUCUGUGGUUCAGUCUGGGUUGGGUGCCAUCAGAAAACAGAGCCGUCCUGUGAUUGAGUAUCUCAGUCAAUUUUAUCAGGGGUGGGGGACAGACUAGAAUGAGACUAAUUGAUAAAGAAGCAGUGGUCACUCAUAUUAGUCAGGAAGGAGAAAUAUUCGGUCAUUUCUGUGGUUUGGACAAUGUUCGUAUUUUGUCUGGGUUCAGACAUUAUGGAGUAGUCUUGAUUUGUCUUGAUCCAUCAUAGUUGCAGAGUUGCCUGAUCUGAUACUGAUAAUCUGUGAAAUUUUGGGGGAUCGACAGAACACCAAGCUUUAGUUUGGUGUUGCUACUAGUGCCAGGCCAGCACCUACCAACACCAAGGCCAACUGAUAGUACUAGGCUAGCUCUUGGAUGUUAGGAAAUGUUUCUCUUUUUAGUUUGGUGUUUUACCAAUAGGCCAUGUGAAAGGGGGCUUCCUUAAAUGCAUUUCAAAGAGGUCUGACCUCCCCCUCCACCCUACAGGCAUUUCUGUCUCUAAGCCCAUGUUCUUUUGCCCCCACUGCAUUGCUCUAGCUCCAUCUACUCACCCCCUGGCAUAUUUCUGGGGCCUAUCCCAAGUCCUACAUUUUCCAUAAAGUCAUCUCUGAUCACUCCACUCCAAAGGACUUUCUUCUGCUCUGAUCUUGGUGCUUUUAUUGUUUAGUCUACCUGAUUGGCACUUUUAGGGUCUAACACUACAUGCAAUCCAUGUAUGUAAUGAUAAGAGGUAACAUGUACUGUUAAAAGAUCUUCUACUGCAAGAGACUUACCUCUCCAACUGAAACCUAAACUGUUUGAGGGUAGGGAUCAUAGGCUGAAAACUCAUGUUUUUUAUGUUUCAGGUUCUGUUUCAAGUUUUUGCAUAUGUUAAUUCGUUUAGUACAAGUCUACAAAGUAAGCACUAUUAUGAUCUCCACUUUUCAGGUGAAAACAAAAUACCUCUUAUUAACCCUCUGUUACCCACCCCCCACCCCUUCCCCAUCCAGUUAACUAAGAGGCUGGUUAAUUAUGGAUAGCAAAAGGCAGGGGAGUGGUGUGUGGAGAUUUUCUCCCCAAAUACUUUUCAACUAUAACUCACUUUACAUAAUACAUGCUCUUAAAAACAACAUUAAUAAAACCAUGUUUGCUUAAACAGAAGAGCUACCACUACUAUGCAGAUUAUCAAAGCAUUGUGAGGGCUUAUGAAGAUAGAUCAAUGCAAUUUGGCAUGUGGUAUCUCCUUAGACUUUCACAAUACUACUCUUAUCCUCAUUUUACAGGUAAAUAAACCAUGUUGCAGAGUGGUUCCCAGAAAGAAAAAGAGGAAGAGAAAACAAAAAAGGUUAAAAAAAAAAGAAGAGAAAGAAAAGUGGAGGUACAGAUUCAAUGCAAGUUCUAUUAAAAUUCCAAUGACAUUUUUCAUGGAAAUAAGACAAAUAGUCCAAUCAUAUGGAAUCACAAAUAACCAAA